rnacentral:rRNA from 1 species
AGUGAACGCUGGCGGCAUGCUUUACACAUGCAAGUCGAACGGUAACAGGGUGCUUGCACCGCUGACGAGUGGCGAACGGGUGAGUAAUGCGUCGGAACGUGCCGAGUAGGGGGGGAUAACGCAGCGAAAGUUGUGCUAAUACCGCAUACGUACUGAGGUAGAAAGUGGGGGACCUUCGGGCCUCACGCUAUUCGAGCGGCCGACGUCGGAUUAGCUAGUAGGUGAGGUAAAGGCUCACCUAGGCGGCGAUCAGUAGCGGGUCUGAGAGGAUGAUCCGCCACACUGGGACUGAGACACGGCCCAGACUCCUACGGGAGGCAGCAGUGGGGAAUUUUGGACAAUGGGCGAAAGCCUGAUCCAGCCAUGCCGCGUGUCUGAAGAAGGCCUUCGGGUUGUAAAGGACUUUUGUCAGGGAGGAAAUCCCUAGCGUUAAUACCGCUGGGGGAUGACAGUACCUGAAGAAUAAGCACCGGCUAACUACGUGCCAGCCGCCGCAGUAA